GGGCAGACACAGUGUAGCCAGCAGUGAGGCCUUCACUGGACUGAAGCAUGCAUGGCCCUUGCCUUUUGGGGGGAGAUCCCUUGCUGCUUGGGACUCUGCCAGCAGAAAGCCACCACUCAAUACAGUCUCUCGUCCUUGGGUCUUUGCGACAGUGAACUGAAGAAGUCCUCUUUUCUUUUGAACUCACCAAGGCAAGGCACGGAACACAAAUGACCCUUUCCUUGAAGUGGCAUGGUGGCAACUCAUCUUCCUGAAGCAGUGGCCGUCCUCAUGCUCGGAUGAGUGACCAGACACACUCACAGGACCACUGUAUCCCUGCCGUGCCCUUCGGAACUGAUCAGAACAGAGGAUGCAACUAAGCCCUGGCUGACAGGAGUUCUCCAUUAUCAAGUAGAAUCAGGGGUUCAAAUAGAAACCAGCAGGUUGAAUGUGAUGCUGGCCCACAGGAACAGGGAGCAUUCAAAGAUGCUGGAGCAAGUCUGAGAGCCUCUGUAUCUCUUGCCAUGUUCCAAGCCCUAGAGAUACAGUGGUGGACAAGACAGGCACACUAUCCUGUUUCCAUGUGGUCAACAUUUCCUUACAAUCUGACUGAGGAGAAAAACAGACUGGCCAAUAAAUAAAAUGUACACAGAGCUAUGAGAGUGAGCAGGGGGAGUAGGACGGGAAUGUGCAUAAUUUCAGUGUGAGCCUGAAAAGGGCUCUCCACAAUGGUGCAGGGAUCCCAGGGAGAGAACUGUGAAGCUCUGAGGUAGGGGGAGUGGAGAAACGACCCAGAAUGGUGUUGGGGUGCUCAGCGUUGGAAGCUGGUGUCACUGGAGCCAUGGGGCCAGUGUGGGUGACUUUGCUCUGUGUGAGACAGGGAGUUAUGAUGACAGCUAAAGGAAGAGUGUUAGUCUGACCUCUGCCUGAACAGGUCACACUUUCCAUGUGAUGAGGAAACACAGA